UGCAAGUCGAGCGGUAACAUUUCUAGCUUGCUAGAAGAUGACGAGCGGCGGACGGGUGAGUAAUGCCUGGGAAAUUGCCUUGAUGUGGGGGAUAACCAUUGGAAACGAUGGCUAAUACCGCAUAAUGCCUUCGGGCCAAAGAGGGGGACCUUCGGGCCUCUCGCGUCAAGAUAUGCCCAGGUGAGAUUAGCUUGUUGGUGAGGUAAGAGCUCACCAAGGCGACGAUCUCUAGCUGGUCUGAGAGGAUGAUCAGCCACAUUGGGACUGAGACACGGCCCAAACUCCUACGGGAGGCAGCAGUGGGGAAUAUUGCACAAUGGGCGCAAGCCUGAUGCAGCCAUGCCGCGUGUAUGAAGAAGGCCUUCGGGUUGUAAAGUACUUUCAGCAGUGAGGAAGGGGUAACGUUGAAUAGACGUUAUUCUUGACGUUAGCUGCAGAAGAAGCACCGGCUAACUCCGUGCCAGCAGCCGCGGUAAUACGGAGGGUGCGAGCGUUAAUCGGAAUUACUGGGCGUAAAGCGCAUGCAGGUGGUCUGUUAAGUCAGAUGUGAAAGCCCGAGGCUUAACCUCGGAAUUGCAUUUGAAACUGGCAGGCUAGAGUACUGUAGAGGGGGGUAGAAUUUCAGGUGUAGCGGUGAAAUGCGUAGAGAUCUGAAGGAAUACCAGUGGCGAAGGCGGCCCCCUGGACAGAUACUGACACUCAGAUGCGAAAGCGUGGGGAGCAAACAGGAUUAGAUACCCUGGUAGUCCACGCCGUAAACGAUGUCUACUUGAAGGUUGUGGCCUUGAGCCGUGGCUUUCGGAGCUAACGCGUUAAGUAGACCG
rnacentral:rRNA from 1 species